GAUGAAGAACGCAGCGAAAUGCGAUAAGUAGUGUGAAUUGCAGAAUUCAGUGAAUCAUCGAAUCUUUGAACGCACAUUGCGCCCUUUGGUAUUCCAAAGGGCAUGCCUGUUCGAGCGUCAUUUGUACCCUCAAGCUUUGCUUGGUGUUGGGCGUCUUGUCUCUAGCUUUGCUGGAGACUCGCCUUAAAGUAAUUGGCAGCCGGCCUACGGGUUUCGGAGCGCAGCACAAGUCGCACUCUCUAUCAGCAAAGGUCUAGCAUCCAUUAAGCCUUUUUUUCAACUUUUGACCUCGGAUCAGGUAGGGAUACCCGCUGAACUUAAGCAUAUCAAUAAGCGGAGGA
rnacentral:misc_RNA from 1 species